AUGCUGGGAUGUGAUGGGGAGCGAAAAUUAGUAGCGAAUUAGCUGAUUUGACACUGCCAUGCAAAGUCUCUAUCGAGGUUCAAGGUAACAGUACCGCAAAGCGACACAGGCGGGUGUGCACAGCUUCCUAAGGCCAGCGAGAGAACUGUUGAUAAGUCACUCGGCAAAAUGACCCCUUAAUUUAGGGAGAAGGGGUGCCACAAUUAGGUGGCCGCAGAGAAUAGGCCCAAGCGACUGUUUACCAAAAACAUAGGUUUCUGCUAAAUCGCAAGACGAUGUAUAGGAGCUGACGCCUGCCCGGUGCUGGAAGGAUAAUGGGAUAUGUUAGAGUAAUCGAAGCAGUCAACUUAAGCCCCAGUAAACGGCGGCCGUAAAUAUAACGGUCAUAAGGGAGCUAAAUUCAUUGUCGGGUUAGGUUCGACCCGCCCGGAAGGGGUAACGCUUUAGGCCAUGUCCAAACGACCGACACGGUGAA
rnacentral:rRNA from 1 species